rnacentral:rRNA from 1 species
CAGGAAGCAGCUUGCUGCUUUGCUGACGAGUGGCGGACGGGUGAGUAAUGUCUGGGAAACUGCCUGAUGGAGGGGGAUAACUACUGGAAACGGUGGCUAAUACCGCAUAACGUCGCAAGACCAAAGAGGGGGACCUUCGGGCCUCUUGCCAUCAGAUGUGCCCAGAUGGGAUUAGCUUGUUGGUGAGGUAACGGCUCACCAAGGCGACGAUCCCUAGCUGGUCUGAGAGGAUGACCAGCCACACUGGAACUGAGACACGGUCCAGACUCCUACGGGAGGCAGCAGUGGGGAAUAUUGCACAAUGGGCGCAAGCCUGAUGCAGCCAUGCCGCGUGUAUGAAGAAGGCCUUCGGGUUGUAAAGUACUUUCAGCGGGGAGGAAGGUGUUGUGGUUAAUAACCGCAGCAAUUGACGUUACCCGCAGAAGAAGCACCGGCUAACUCCGUGCCAGCAGCCGCGGUAAUACGGAGGGUGCAAGCGUUAAUCGGAAUUACUGGGCGUAAAGCGCACGCAGGCGGUCUGUCAAGUCGGAUGUGAAAUCCCCGGGCUCAACCUGGGAACUGCAUUCGAAACUGGCAGGCUUGAGUCUUGUAGAGGGGGGUAGAAUUCCAGGUGUAGCGGUGAAAUGCG